AUGUAUUAUAUAGCUAGCCAUGAAGUCAUGGAGAAGAAGAGACACAUAAGAUGGCUGUUUGUCUUCAUGAUAAUUGCACUGUACUGGGGAAGAAUCGAAUACAUGAAAAUAACUCAAGAACAAAGAACUAAAAAUGAAGCACGCUGUCUUUGUUUUUGUACGUGUGUCAAGCAGCCAUCUCUUCUUUCGUCAUUUUCUUCUGAAAGAAAAAAUGACUUCCACGAAGACUUUCAGCAAUGAUCCUCCGCUGACAUCAAAAACAUGUCAGAACAAAGCAAAACCUCAAGCUCCCAAGAUUUAACAAGCACAGGCACAAGUCAGCUGAACCUGGAACAUCUGCCUUAGGAAUACUUAGUGUUUUCUAAGAACAUUCCAUUUGUUGGUCAGGAGUGAUGAAUUAUGUGAACACUGAAUUCAUCUGCCUUGAUUUAUAUAUUUAUUUUUAAAUAAACUUCCACAUUGGGGUGUUUACCCAGGGGCAGUAGAAGAGAAACCCUUCUUUUCAGGUUAGAUUAACCUCACUCUUUUUAUGAGCUCUUACAUUCAUAGAAAUCGUUUGAUAAGAAUUAGAAACUACUUUGAGGCCUCUGUCAAUUUUCAGAAUAAGAAGGAUGAAAAGAAAGACAUUAUGAAUGGGAGAGCAGCUGAUUAUUUGGAAGGAAGUGUUAGCUGUGGUUCAACAUUCAUCACCAUCCAUUCCUUGAACGUAUCUGUCAGAAUCUUUUGAUGGCCACCUUCACUUCUUUUUUCUUUUUCCUUGCUACACCAGUAAAAUCAGUCAUCCCCUCAGCAAUAAGCAUGUAAAAUGACUUCUUUUGUAGAACAAACCCUUUGUGUGUAAAUAAUUUGUUAGCCCCCUCCUCCCUUCAAGCAUUGUGUUGGGAAAAAAUAUCCAACAUAAAUUGAUUGUAUGGAUAGCCUGAUUGUAAAGCAAGAUUAAUAUGAAAACACAAGGAGUCUGCAAUAAAACCUACUAACUUAAAUC
ensembl:lincRNA